AGGUGCUGUGGCUACAGAAGGACUGUCAUGAUUUUUCUGCUGCCAGAUCUGUCUGAUGAAUACUGACCAAGCUGGAAGACCCGGACCUGCCCUCAGCCAACCUGGCUUGACUCAGAAUUUGGAGUUCCUCUGCGCACAACACACCAGAAGUUUGUCAUUGCCACCUCUACAAAAGUUGAUAUCAGCGAUGUUAAAAUCCCCAAACACCUGACUGACGCUUACUUCAAGAAGCAGCAGCUGUGCAAGCCCAGGCAUCAGGAGGGCGAGGUCUUCGAC